UUUUAUUUAUUUAUUUAUUUAUUUAUUUAUUUAUUUAGAGACAGGGUUUCUCUGUGUAACAGCCCUGGCUGUCCUGGAGUUCACUUUGUAGAUCAAGGUGGCCUCGAACACACAAAAUUGAUCUGUCUCUGCCUCCUGAGUGCUGGAAUCAAAGGUGUGUGGCACCAAUACCCAGCACUUUAGAUGUUUUGUUUUGUUUUGUUUUUUUGAGACAGGGUUUCUCUGUGUAGUCCUAGCUGUCCUGGAAAUCACUCUGUAGACCAGGCUGACCUCAAACUCAGAAAUCUGCCUGCCUUUGCCUCCCAAGUGCUGGGUAGAUGGCUUUUAAUGACUUACUUAUUUGUGUGUUGGUAUAAAGGUCAGACUUGUGGGAGUUUGUUAUAUUUGUUUCAUCUUGCUAGUAUAUGAUUUAGACUUUUCUUUUUUGUACAGAAUCUGUCUAUUUAGCCCAGGCUGUCCUGGAAUUUGCUAAGUGCUAAGGAGAACAGAUGGCUCUGAACAGUCUGCCAGCUGGGAUUAAAGGUGUGUGCCACCAUUCCUGGCUGUAUUACACUUAAAAAAAACAAAAACAAAAACAAAAACCAAUCGCUAUUCAAGAAAACAGUGGCUAAGCUAGCUUGCUCCUUACCCUUUUCUUCUCUUCCUCCCACCUUCUUUUCUUGGGUGUCAUCAGUUAUCUUGCAUGUUGUCAAAGCACAUUUUUUCUUUUUUGCUGAGCCCUUCCUUUCUCUUCCAAGAUUUGAUAGUACAAUCUGUACAUUAGCAAUAAGUGCCUACGGAGGAAAUAAAAGAAUUAUCCUGAGACAGGCUUGGUGUGGGGAGCCUGCAGGUAUGUCAUGAUAUCCCAAUUUCUGACAUGAGACAGUAUCAGGAUACUACACUAUGAAGGAAAGCUGCCUGUGUAGGGUAUUAGCCAGCCAGGGCUGUAGAAGUGAUGGCUUAAAUGACAGAAAUAUAUUUUCCCACAAUUCUAGAGGCCAAAAUCUCAAUAUCAAGGUAUCUACAGGGUCAAGGUAUCUACAGGGUCAGUUUCUCUGAAGACUUCUCCCUUGGCUGAUAGACGGACUGCUCCCCCUGAUAGAAACUUGGUCUUCCUUUGCAUGCCUGUGUGUGCCUCUCUCCCUACUGCAUUGGAGUCUACUCUCAUGACUCAUUUUUUGCUUAGAGACCUAAAUCUAAAUAUAGUCCUAUCAUGGCUGGUAGUUAGGGUUUCAAUAUAUAAAUUCAGAGAAGAGAGGACAGAAUUCAGCUAAUGAUAAUGUAAUAAGUCAGUUCCUAAUCAAUGUCCAACUCGAGUAAUGGAAAACUAGACCCCAGCAAAGCCGGAAGUGCAGACUCAGAGGCAGAUUGCAGAGCUUCACUGGGGUUGGCUGUUGCAAGGCCCUCCUGUUACAGAUUGCUCAUUACAAGCAUUAAAAUAAGCUGCCAUGCCUCUGGCCAUAUUGUCCUGAACAGGCCUGGUCUCCUCUAAACAAGCUGCAGAACCUGACUAUCUGGAGUGAGGACCAAUCAGGAGAGAUCUGCUAGGGCCAGAUGUGCAGGGGCAGGCACUUAAGCAUCGAGCGAACAGCGGAGGGAUCAUAAGAGGACAACCCUGUGUUGUGGACCACGAUGUCAUGGGAUGAGACCACAUAGUCACAACACUCCUCAAUAGCUGUCUGUAGAAACCUGAGAGUAGAAGGCUGUGGAGAUGUUCCCACUUAAUAUGUAGGUAAAUUUGUUUUUCCGUUUGAAGGAGAGACACUAAUGAGUAAUUCAUUUCUGCCAAGUUAAAAUUCCCCAGUUCUUCUGGGUAAACGCUAACUGGUUCGCCUUGAAAAUCACACGGACUUUUCUAUGGCUCUGUUCUGAAGGCAGGGCUUUCCUACCUUCUUGCUCCUUAGGUUUAGAUAAAGAUACCAGAGGAGAUUGACACAGAGGCACUGGAAUUCUCUAACUGUCCCUACAUGUUCAUCAAGACACUUCAUUUAAGCUAUGCCUCUGUCAUGGGCAGUGAGUUGCUAUUUCAUUUGCUUCUAUAUUUUAUAAAAUAUAGGUUUACACAUCGGUUAAAAAUAGUGAUAUAGUUAGUGGAAAAGUUUAAAAUGAAUGUACCACAAUGUUCAUUAUCCUAUUUUUGUAUUUCUUCAUGUUUGGGGGCACUGAAAGCAUGAAACACGCUACCAACCUGGGCCUUUCUUAUCGUAGAGAGGCCCACACCUGAGCAGACUAUGUGCCUCUAACUGUGGGAAAACUACUAAGAUCCAAGUCCACCAUGACCAGAUGGUCCCUGAGCUAGGCACAAAAUGGGAGACUCCCUUGUUAGGAGGUUUUCUCCUCCUUAACCUUGUCUGGGGGAUUCUGAGCACCCACACUUACUUCUACC
rnacentral:lncRNA from 1 species